rnacentral:rRNA from 1 species
GACGAACGCUGGCGGCGUGCUUAACACAUGCAAGUCGAACGCACCUUCGGGUGAGUGGCGGACGGGUGAGUAACGCGUAGGUAAUCUACUCUUCAGUGGGGGAUACCCAGCCGAAAGGUUGGUUAAUACCGCAUACGCUCCUGUGCAGAGAGGUACAGGAGGAAAGGUUUACUGCUGAGGAAUGAGCCUGCGUCCGAUUAGCUAGUUGGUGGGGUAAAGGCUCACCAAGGCGACGAUCGGUAGCUGGUCUGAGAGGACGAUCAGCCACACUGGAACUGAGACACGGUCCAGACUCCUACGGGAGGCAGCAGUGGGAAUUUUCCGCAAUGGGCGAAAGCCUGACGGAGCAACGCCGCGUGGGUGAUGAAGUUUUUCGGAACGUAAAACCCUUUCGCCAGGGACGAAGCGAGUGACGGUACCUGGAGAAGAAGCAUCGGCUAACUACGUGCCAGCAGCCGCGGU